rnacentral:rRNA from 1 species
AUGUGGUUUAAUUCGAAGCAACGCGAAGAACCUUACCAGAUCUUGACAUCCAAUUGACCAUCUUUUAUCGAGAUUUUGCCUUCGGUACAAUUGAGACAGGUGGUGCAUGGUUGUCGUCAGCUCGUGUCGUGAGAUGUUGGGUUAAGUCCCGCAACGAGCGCAACCCUUGUGUUUAGUUGCAAACAGGUCAAGCUGUGCACUCUAGACAGACUGCCGUGGACAACACGGAGGAAGGUGGGGAUGACGUCAAAUCAUCAUGCCCCUUAUGAUCUGGGCUACACACGUGCUACAAUGGCCGGUACAACGGGCAGCGAAGGAGCGAUCCGGAGCGAAUCCUAAAAAGCCGGUCCCAGUUCGGAUUGCAGGCUGAAACUCGCCUACAUGAAGUUGGAGUUGCUAGUAAUCGCGAAUCAGAAUGUCGCGGUGAAUGCGUUCCCGGGUCUU